AAGUGUGAAUGCCCUCAGUCGCAUGGUGAGGGAUGAGGCUGGCUGGCGGGAUUGAAAAACUAAAUCCAAUUGCUGCUUAAAGACUCUCAGAUGGGGGAUCAGAGGAUGGAAGACAACCAAGCAAGUGAAGAGAAGCCAAAAACAGCUGGCACACUCAUUCGGAUAAGCCAACUUCAAAACAAAACGGAAUCCAUACCUUGGAAGGAACACGAUGAGAUUUUUCAUGCAAAACUGCUUUCUACAUGGUGAAGGGCCAUGUGCAUAAAAUAAUAAAGAAGCAAAGACUCCUAGCUGGCCUCAUAAAAAAGUAUAGCAUUUCAUAGCUGGCGCACACCGUUUUGUACUCUAUGUAAAAGAAUUUUCUAAAUGGCAGUCUUUCGUUUAAAGGCUUGUAUCGUUUCCCCAGCUAAAACUCUUUUGCUGACUGCGUAGAAAAAAGAUUGGAUCCUUUACACAUAGACACAUGUACAACAGAGUCAAAAUUUGACCUGCUAAGACUCAUAUGUGCAAGGGGAAUAAAACAUUAUUUUAUCUGUGA